GCAUGGGAGGCAUUCUCCCUUCCUCUCUUAUAAAGUCAAGGUCUCUUGAAAUUUCUCCUCUCUGUUGGGUCUUUCAACAUAUUUUAAUCAGUUUGUAAGUCCUCAAGGUGAAGCAUCGAAUAGAGUCAUAUUCUGGAAAAAUGAAGAAUAAUAAUAGGAAAGGACCUCAUGUGAUUCAACCUCAUUCUUCAAAGUGAGAGCCAUUGUUGAUGAUUGCCUGAUUUGUUCUUAAAGACCUCCAAUGCUUCUUCAGGCUAAGAAAAUGUACCAAGCCCAAGAGAAGACUACACUGACAGGAGGCCUGAGAGAAGGAGGAAGAGAAGUGGAGCAGUAACCAGUGGUCUUGAACACCACCAUAUUGAAGAGCAGUAGAUAGAAGGCAUCAAGCUGGCCUGUUUAUACCAGCUGCAGGACUGUGCUUGGUCACUCGGCCUAGGAGAAUCAAUAAUUAUAUGUUCUCUACAAAGGACGUAAUGACAUCUAUUACCUUUGGUAAUCCUGAACAUCAAGGUUUCCCCUUUCUCAAAUAAAAGUACUAGUUGUUUGAAUUAAAACCUUGUUAUCAGAUCUUUCC